CCAGCAUCCUAGCCGAAGCGCGGACCUCAGUCCCGGCUGGCCGUAUUACACCCUGGGCUAUAACACCUCCACCGAAGUGGAGGCCACAUUCCCAGAGCCUUUAUCCGGCCGCCGAAACUGAUGCUGGCCUGUCCAAACUGAGUAAACCGGUCAGAAGACCGGCCGAACAGUUUAAACAAGUCUGAUUGCAAGCGCUUCCCUUUCAACAAUUUCACGUGCUUUUUAACUCUCUUUCCAAAGUGCUUUUCAUCUUUCGAUCACUCUACUUGUGCGCUAUCGGUCUCUCGCCAAUAUUUAGCUUUAGAAGAAAUUUACCUCCCAUUUAGAGCUGCAUUCCCAAACAACUCGACUCGUCGAAGGAGAUUUACAUAGGGUGCCAUUUCCUGUCACAUACGGGAUUCUCACCCUCUAUGACGUCCUGUUCCAAGGAACUUAGACAGGCGGCUUCCCCAAAUCAUCCUCUACAAAUUACAAUGCGAACCCGAAGGCUAGCUUUCAAAUUUGAGCUGUUGCCGCUUCACUCGCCGUUACUAGGGCAAUCCCUGU
rnacentral:rRNA from 1 species